rnacentral:tRNA from 1 species
GAUGUAGCUCAGUGGCAGAGCACUUGCCUGUCAUGCCUGAGGCCCCAAGUUCAAUCCCUAGCACA